UAAAAUCUGGUAAUAGUUCAUAGUCUAGUAAACAAAGGGUUCGACUCUAAUUAUGAACUUUAAGUGGAAUGAAUGAAAGCAUCAUUCUCAAUUAACAGAAUAUUAAAAGCAGCAUGCUUUAAAAUGUUUAUAACAGUUCAAGUAACAGUUCAUACUGUAAUAGUGGUAAUACCAACUGAAAUAGGCUACCCCCGGCUAUUGUUAAAGUGCACCUAACCUCAAUUUUUUUAACAUCUCAUUCCAAAGAACCUUUGAAAUUAUAUUGUAACUUAUUUUCUGCAUUUCUGUUUGCACACUUUCAGUUUUAUUGAUAUGCAAAUGUCCGGAAUUUACGUCACAUACGAAUAAUGAC